CUGAAUUAUACAUUAAUAGGAUUUCUAGAUAAGAAUAACCAGGAAGUGAAAAUUCCUCAAUCCACGGACUGUCAGAUUUCGAGGAUUCUGGUGGAGAAUGAAGGUUGAAUCAAAUUUUCAUGGAAAAUGCAGGAAGAAAAUAAAGGAAUAGUUGGAUAUGUUCACAUCAACGAUGUUUUCCUGAAUGAUUUCACCAUUUAUUCUCUUGAGAUGAAAAUGGACUUCUUCAGUAAGAUCCGCUCUGCCACCUGGAGACCUGCUGCAAGUAAUCCUCUGGGACCUGCUUUCUACAAGGGGAUCUUGAAGGCUGGUUCUUCUCCCAAGGACACAUUCCUGAGGCUCCCGG